CCUAGACUACUGCACCAGCUGAGUCUUUACAGGACCCUGCAGAAUCAGCACCAGGGGCUCACCAUCUCAUACCCAUGAUGUGGCAAAAAGAAAGGAUACCAACCAGAGGGAGGACAAGAACCAUUCCCAGUCUUAUUCACUGUUCCUGACCUGUACCAUGUCAUCAUCAAGAAUAGUUACAGAGGAGAUCAAGAAUAGUUACAGAGGAGCCUUUUAUGACAUUCAGAUGCAAUUUGCAGCUGCAGAAAAGUUCUACAGCACUGUCACAGGCCUGCUCCCAGGGAGGAAAUACUUCUGCGUCAUUGCCUGCAGUGACACUGGGGACACUGACACCAGAUUCACAGGAGCAGUGAUACACCUCCAAAG